rnacentral:lncRNA from 1 species
CGGAGACCGGUUCCCGUCCGCCGGCCGCGCCGCCACCCCAAGCUCCGCGAACCCCGCGCCCCUUUUUGUUCCGCGUCCUCCAGCAUUACUCUACUGACUGGCAGAGACAGGAGAGGUAGAUGUCCACGCCCACAGACCCUGGUGCGAUGCCCCACCCAGGGCCUUCGCCGGGGCCUGGGCCUUCCCCUGGGCCAAUUCUUGGGCCUAGUCCAGGACCAGGACCAUCCCCAGGUUCCGUCCACAGCAUGAUGGGGCCAAGUCCUGGACCUCCAAGUGUCUCCCAUCCUAUGCCGACGAUGGGGUCCACAGACUUCCCACAGGAAGGCAUGCAUCAAAUGCAUAAGCCCAUCGAUGGUAUACAUGACAAGGGGAUUGUAGAAGACAUCCAUUGUGGAUCCAUGAAGGGCACUGGUAUGCGACCACCUCACCCAGGCAUGGGCCCUCCCCAGAGUCCAAUGGAUCAACACAGCCAAGGUUAUAUGUCACCACACCCAUCUCCAUUAGGAGCCCCAGAGCACGUCUCCAGCCCUAUGUCUGGAGGAGGCCCAACUCCACCUCAGAUGCCACCAAGCCAGCCGGGGGCCCUCAUCCCAGGUGAUCCGCAGGCCAUGAGCCAGCCCAACAGAGGUCCCUC